rnacentral:rRNA from 1 species
GAGAAGCUUGCUUCUCUGAUGUUAGCGGCGGACGGGUGAGUAACACGUGGAUAACCUACCUAUAAGACUGGGAUAACUUCGGGAAACCGGAGCUAAUACCGGAUAAUAUUUUGAACCGCAUGGUUCAAAAGUGAAAGACGGUCUUGCAGUCACUUAUAGAUGGAUCCGCGCUGCAUUAGCUAGUUGGUAAGGUAACGGCUUACCAAGGCAACGAUGCAUAGCCGACCUGAGAGGGUGAUCGGCCACACUGGAACUGAGACACGGUCCAGACUCCUACGGGAGGCAGCAGUAGGGAAUCUUCCGCAAUGGGCGAAAGCCUGACGGAGCAACGCCGCGUGAGUGAUGAAGGUCUUCGGAUCGUAAAACUCUGUUAUUAGGGAAGAACAUAUGUGUAAGUAACUGUGCACAUCUUGACGGUACCUAAUCAGAAAGCCACGGCUAACUACGUGCCAGCAGCCGCGGUAAUACGUAGGUGGCAAGCGUUAUCCGGAAUUAUUGGGCGUAAAGCGCGCGUAGGCGGUUUUUUAAGUCUGAUGUGAAAGCCCACGGCUCAACCGUGGAGGGUCAUUGGAAACUGGAAAACUUGAGUGCAGAAGAGGAAAGUGGAAUUCCAUGUGUAGCGGUGAAAUGCGCAGAGAUAUGGAGGAACACCAGUGGCGAAGGCGACUUUCUGGUCUGUAACUGACGCUGAUGUGCGAAAGCGUGGGGAUCAAACAGGAUUAGA